rnacentral:misc_RNA from 1 species
GAACGCAACUUGCGCUCUCUGGUAUUCCGGAGAGCAUGCCUGUUUGAGUGUCAUGAAAUCUCAACCAUUAGGGUUUCUUAAUGGCUUGGAUUUGGAGGUUGCCAUUCUGAAUGGCUCCUCUCAAAAGAGUUAGCGAGUUUAACUAUUGCUAUCUGGCGUAAUAAGUUUCGCUGGAAUGGUAUUGUGAAGCGCGCUUCUAAUCGUCUUCGGACAAUUACUUUGACUCUGGCCUCAAAUCAGGUAGGACUACCCGCUGAACUUA